rnacentral:rRNA from 1 species
UACAGAGGGGGCAAGCGUUGUUCGGAAUUACUGGGCGUAAAGGGCGCGUAGGCGGCCUGCUAAGUCGAACGUGAAAUCCCUGGGCUCAACCCAGGAACUGCGUCCGAUACUGGUUGGCUUGAAUCCGGGAGAGGGAUGUGGAAUUCCAGGUGUAGCGGUGAAAUGCGUAGAUAUAGGAAGGAACACCAGUGGCGAAGGCGACCACCUGGACUGAUACUGACACUGAGGUGCGAAAGCGUGGGGAGCAAACAGG